rnacentral:rRNA from 1 species
AUGGCUUCCCUGGGCUUGCCCGGACCCUCCUCCUACCACGACCUCUGCUGCUACGGGGCAGGAAUCGCAGGGAACAUCUUCGCCUUCGUGCUCUUCAUCUCCCCGCUGCCAACAUUCAGGAGGAUCGUCCGGAAUGGGUCGACGGAGCAGUUCUCGGCCACGCCCUACAUCUACUCGCUCCUCAACUGCCUCGUCUGCAUGUGGUACGCCCUCCCCUUCGUCUCCUACGGCGUCGUCCUCGUCGCCACCGUCAACACCAUCGGCGCCGCCUUCCAGCUUGCCUACACCGCCGUCUUCAUCGCCUACGCCGACGCCAAGAAAAGGCUCAAGGUGUCCGUGCUGCUGGCUGGGGUGUUCUGCGUGUUCGGCCUGAUUGUGUAUGUCAGUAUGGCGCUGUUUGAUCACAAGCCUCGGCGAACAUUCGUCGGCUAUCUCAGCGUGGCGUCCCUCAUAUUCAUGUUCGCAUCCCCUCUGUCCAUCAUUAAUUUGGUGAUCAGGACCAAGAGCGUGGAGUACAUGCCCUUUUAUUUGUCGCUAUCGAUGUCCCUGAUGAGCAUGUCGUUUUUCGCAUACGGGGCGCUUCUGGAUGACUUCUUCAUAUACGUUCCCAAUGGCAUCGGCACAGUCUUAGGUGUCAUGCAGUUGUUGUUAUAUGCCUAUUACAGUAGAAAAGGAUCGAGAGACGAAGCCAGACGGCCAUUACUAGUCACACAUACAUGA